GAUGAACGCUGGCGGCGCGCCUAAUACAUGCAAGUCGAGCGAAUGGAUUAAGAGCUUGCUCUUAUGAAGUUAGCGGCGGACGGGUGAGUAACACGUGGGUAACCUGCCCAUAAGACUGGGAUAAAUCCGGGAAACCGGGGCUAAUACCGGAUAACAUUUUGAACCGCAUGGUUCGAAAUUGAAAGGCGGCUUCGGCUGUCACCUAUGGAUGGACCCGGGUCGCAUUAGCUAGUUGGUGAGGGAACGGCUCACCAAGGCAACGAUGCGGAGCCGACCUGAGAGGGUGAUCGGCCACACUGGGACUGAGACACGGCCCAGACUCCUACGGGAGGCAGCAGUAGGGAAUCUUCCGCAAUGGACGAAAGUCUGACGGAGCAACGCCGCGUGAGUGAUGAAGGCUUUCGGGUCGUAAAACUCUGUUGUUAGGGAAGAACGAGUGCUAGUUGACUAAGCUGGCACCUUGACGGUACCUAACCAGAAAGCCACGGCUAACUACGUGCCAGCAGCCGCCGUAA
rnacentral:rRNA from 1 species